rnacentral:rRNA from 1 species
AAUAGAUACCCGGGUAGUCCACGCCGUAAACGGUGGGUACUAGGUGUGGGUUUCCUUCCUUGGGAUCCGUGCCGUAGCUAACGCAUUAAGUACCCCGCCUGGGGAGUACGGCCGCAAGGCUAAAACCUCAAAGGAAUUGACGGGGGGCCCGCACAAGCGGCGGAGCAUGUGGAUUAAUUCGAUGCAACGCGAAGAACCUUACCUGGGUUUGACAUGCACAGGACGCUGGUAGAGAUAUCAGUUCCCUUGUGGUCUGUGUGCAGGUGGUGCAUGGCUGUCGUCAGCUCGUGUCGUGAGAUGUUGGGUUAAGUCCCGCAACGAGCGCAACCCUUGUCUCAUGUUGCCAGCGGGUUAUGCCGGGGACUCGUGAGAGACUGCCGGGGUCAACUCGGAGGAAGGUGGGGAUGACGUCAAGUCAUCAUGCCCCUUAUGUCCAGGGCUUCACACAUGCUACAAUGGCCGGUACAAAGGGCUGCGAUGCCGUGAGGUUAAGCGAAUCCUUUAAAGCCGGUCUCAGUUCGGAUCGGGGUCUGCAACUCGACCCCG